CCUUCCUCUGGAGCAGCCCCUGCCAUGUGAGGAAGAGGCGAUGGAGGAGGUCGCAGCUGCUCCUAAACCAGGUGCACUGGAUGCUGCUGCUGCACGCAUGCAGCAAUUGGAAGACGAAAUCAAGGAACUGACAACAGAGCUGUCACAGCUGAAAGUGGGUCAAGUGCAUUUUCACUGAUUUUGUGUCUCAGACAAGGUCAUCCUUUUUUACACAAGAUUCACAUCAAGGGAUUUUAUUUUGUGACUUCUGGGAGGCUAUUCAACUAUCUGCCUCCAUGGUGGUUUAUUGGUCGAAAGCUCAGAAAAAGGGACAAACAUUUGAACCCAUUUCUCCCAGUCCAACGCAUAGACUGCAACUGGUUAAUGAUUUUUUUUCUCUUCUGCUGCCGAGUGGCUGCAGUCCUGCAAGGGAAGGUGCUGGUGGACAUGUUUCAGGUCAGUAUGUCCACUGUCUCCCGUGUUGUUAUAACGUGGGCCAACUACCUUUACCUGCUCCUUGGCUCCCUUCUCAUCUGGAUGAGUAAACAGCAAGUCAAGAACACCAUGCCAAGCAAAUUUGUGCAGUACAGUCCAGAUGUUCGGGUAAUCAUCGACUGCACCAAGGUGCGAUGCCAGAAUCCAUCAUCCCUCACUCUCCAGUCAGAGGUUUUCUCAUCAUACAAAAACACGACAACCUUGAAGGGAUUAAUUGGGAUUGCCCCAUGUAGUGCUGUGACUUUUGUGUCAAGUCUCUUCACCAGCUCCAUCUCUGACCGAGCGCUGACUGAACAAAGUGGACUGCUCGACUUACUGGAGCCAGGAGAUGGCUGCAUGGCAGACAAGGGUUUCACCAUCGAGAAGCUGUUAGCUGACCGUGGGGCAACGCUGAUUAUACCACCCUUCGAGAUGACAGCGCAGUUCACCAAAGAGGAUGCUCUAAAAACAUAAGCAAUCGCCCCACUUCGAAUCCUCGUGGAAAGAGCACUAAGCAGAGUCAAGGAAUACCGCAUCUGGGAACACACUCUCCCUCUAACCUUGUCUGGGACAGUCAACCAGCUGUGGACCGUCUGUUGUGUGAUGACCAACUUCCAGGGACCACUUUAUUAAAAGGCUACAUCCCUGUUGAAUAGUGUUUCCCCCGAUCACAUGCAUUAAACUGUAUACUGAAAACAUUGUAUAUAUUGAAUGAGAUGUAUCUAAUUGAAUGAGAAGUCAUUCAUCUAUAAUCAAUUCUAAAGGUCAGUCCGUCCUGAAAGUAUUCAAAAUAAUGUAAAUAUGUAAUGUAGUAAAUAAUGUACUCAG